UUGCAGUUCUACACAUCUGUGGGCCAUGGUAUGCAUGUUCUCUAUGUAUAAUCAGGCCGCAGCAAUAUGCAUUUAAAUCUUCUGCAAUAUAAGUCCUGAAACACUUCACACCUUACAAAGGGUACAAGAAUAGAUCCACCACAGACUUUUUCUUUGCAUACAUAUUCGUUGCCUGAAAAAAAUUUCGAACCUUAUUCGCAAGAUUAAUAGCGGAAAUUUUAUUAUAUUUUUUUUUGGUGGGAAUUGGAGGAAUCCACUAUCUAUGAUGUCCUGAAACCUUCAAAGUCGUUUUCUCUUUCCUAUGGAAGAUUCUGUUGACUGAAGCAUCUUGUACCUGGUGUUAUAUACUUGCAUACAUAUAAGGAAAUGGUAGAAAUACAGUAGAGAUAUGCUUCUGCUGUAGUGCUGUUUGAAGUCCAUCAAUAAGAAAAGCUAAUGCAUCCUUUCUUUAAUAAGUGCUAUUUUCCCCUUGGUUAUCAGAUAUUGGUUUGUUAUUUAUUCAUAACUGCAUACUUUUGCUAAAGGAAGGAGCUUCAGUAUUGUUUUCCAUAAAUGACUUGGGCAUGGAGCUUGCUGCCUUGAGCAUUGAUUUCUGGAAGCUAAUCAAUGCUGCUCUAUAUAUUAGUUCUUCAGUUCCAGUGGCGACAGGUGUACAACACACAUUGGUGGCUGCCUGUUGACCCCAGGUGAAGGCAUUAGCCAAGGAAAGGGCAAAAAAAAAAAGCACAGAAAUGACCACAGGAAUGAUAUUCCUUGUGGGAGAGACAGAGAAGAAAAGUAAGAUUCUGGGGAAUGGAAUGUAAGCAUCUUAACUCAAAACUAAAGCAUGGGUCGUAUUCUCAAGUCAAGAAUUUUUGGUUAUUCUUUCCUCUUCAAGGCCACGAAAAAUGGGUUCCUCCCCUUUACCUUUUAUCUUUAAUCUGCUUAAUACAAUUUCUGAUGCUUCUCAAAAUUGCAUAUAAUCAAAUAUUUAUUCCUCCUAAGUAUGCCACCCUCUUCUGUCAAAUAUUUCUGAUGCCUUAUUUUUGUCUGUGCUUAUCAGCUAAAUAUGCUCUCCAUCUUUGCAAAUGGCUAAUCUGGUAACCACUUCCCUGGGAGAUGCUCCCCUAAGCCUACGAACACAACCAAUCCUUGCUAAACAUGAGUUAACAUUGUUCCUCCUAUGUCUCUCAUGAUAACCUGCAUGGCCAAAUGUAAUGAGACACACAGAUGCCACAGGAAUUGAACUAUGGACUUUUUAAACUUCUCUUUAUUAUUGUUAAUAGGGAAAAUCUACAACUGCAACUUUUUGCACUGGGUACAACCAUAUAUACUUUUUGGAUUGUAUUGCGUAUUGUCAA